rnacentral:rRNA from 1 species
AACGAACGCUGGCGGCAGGCCUAACACAUGCAAGUCGAGCGCGCCCUUCGGGGUGAGCGGCGGACGGGUGAGUAACGCGUGGGAACGUGCCCUUUUCUACGGAAUAGCCUCGGGAAACUGAGAGUAAUACCGGAUACGCCCUUUGGGGGAAAGAUUUAUCGGAAAAGGAUCGGCCCGCGUUGGAUUAGGUAGUUGGUGGGGUAAUGGCCUACCAAGCCGACGAUCCAUAGCUGGUUUGAGAGGAUGAUCAGCCACACUGGGACUGAGACACGGCCCAGACUCCUACGGGAGGCAGCAGUGGGGAAUCUUAGACAAUGGGGGCAACCCUGAUCUAGCCAUGCCGCGUGAGUGAUGAAGGCCUUAGGGUUGUAAAGCUCUUUCAGCUGGGAAGAUAAUGACGGUACCAGCAGAAGAAGCCCCGGCUAACUCCGUG